rnacentral:lncRNA from 1 species
UUCCUUUGUGUAAUUUUCUUGACGAGCUGCCUGUAUAACACAAAAUGAUCAGUAUAUAUCGAUCACAUAUGCCCAAAUAAAUCCAAAGAUACUGACAUUUUGCUCACCUUCUAGUCAUCCGAUUAGGGCUAUCCCGGAGAAUUAUUGCUACACUUUCUUGCACAUUUUCAUCAACAAAGACAACACUUUCUCAAUUCUACAGAUUGAGUGUAGAAAGCAAGGAUAAAAGCAUCUUACUGUGUGUCCAUGGCGUCUGCUGAGAUGGCCUUUGGUGAGAGGGGGCAUUGGCCACUGUCUCUUAUAUCAGCAUCUGCAGGCAGUAAUGGCUGAAACGAUGAGUAGUCUGCAUUAUCACAGUUUGAAUUGAUGAUACCCAUAAGUGCAGCCACAA